ACGGGUGAGGAAUACAUCGGAAUCUGCCUUGUUGUGGGGGAUAACGUAGGGAAACUUACGCUAAUACCGCAUACGACCGAAAGGUGAAAGUGGGGGACCGCAAGGCCUCACGCGAUAAGAUGAGCCGAUGUCGGAUUAGCUAGUUGGUGAGGUAAUGGCUCACCAAGGCGACGAUCCGUAGCUGGUCUGAGAGGAUGAUCAGCCACACUGGAACUGAGACACGGUCCAGACUCCUACGGGAGGCAGCAGUGGGGAAUAUUGGACAAUGGGCGCAAGCCUGAUCCAGCCAUGCCGCGUGGGUGAAGAAGGCCUUCGGGUUGUAAAGCCCUUUUGUUCGGGAAGAAAUCGUACGGGUGAAUAUCCCGUGCGGAUGACGGUACCGAAAGAAUAAGCACCGGCUAACUUCGUGCCAGCAGCCGCGGUAAUACGAAGGGUGCAAGCGUUACUCGGAAUUACUGGGCGUAAAGCGUGCGUAGGCGGUUUGUUAAGUCCGUUGUGAAAGCCCUGGGCUCAACCUGGGAAUUGCAGUGGAUACUGGCAAGCUAGAGUACGGUAGAGGAUGGUGGAAUUCCCGGUGUAGCGGUG
rnacentral:rRNA from 1 species